UAACUACUCUCUCCGUUCAACUAAAGAUGUCUCAAACUUGUCAAAAUUUGGAUGUAUUUAGACAUGACGUAGUGUAUAAAUGCCUUCAACUUUAGUCAAAGUUGAGACAUCUUUUGUUAGACGGAGGAAUAUAAG
rnacentral:pre_miRNA from 1 species